rnacentral:rRNA from 1 species
AAUUAGGGUUCGAUUCCGGAGAGGGAGCCUGAGAAACGGCUACCACAUCCAAGGAAGGCAGCAGGCGCGCAAAUUACCCAAUCCCGAUACGGGGAGGUAGUGACAAUAAAUAACAAUACAGGGCUCUUAUGGGUCUUGUAAUUGGAAUGAGUACAAUCUAAAUCCCUUAACGAGGAACAAUUGGAGGGCAAGUCUGGUGCCCGCAGCCGCGGUAAUUCCAGCUCCAAUAGCGUAUAUUAAAGUUGUUGCAGUUAAAAAGCUCGUAGUUGAAUUUCGGGGUUCUACCAUUGGUCGGGCAAUUGUCUGUACUGGUGUGUAGAAUUUCUACCUUCUGGGGAACCAUCAUGUUAUUAAUUUAGCGUGGUGGGAAACCAGGACCUUUACCUUGAAAAAAUUAGAGUGUUCAAAGCAGGCUUACGUCUGAAUACAUUAGCAUGGAAUAAUAAAAUAGGACGGUGGCCCUGUUUUGUUGGUUUCUGAAUCACCGUAAUGAUUAAUAGGGUUAGUUGGGGGCAUUAGUAUUCAAUUGUCAGAGGUGAAAUUCUUGGAUUUAUUGAAGACUAACUUCUGCGAAAGCAUUUGCCAAGGAUGUUUUCAUUAAUCAAGAACGAAAGUUAGGGGAUCGAAGACGAUCAGAUACCGUCGUAGUCUUAACCAUAAACUAUGCCGACUAGGGAUCGGACGAUGUUA